rnacentral:rRNA from 1 species
AUUGAACGCUGGCGGCAUGCCUUACACAUGCAAGUCGAACGGCAGCAUGAUCUAGCUUGCUAGAUUGAUGGCGAGUGGCGAACGGGUGAGUAAUACAUCGGAACGUGCCCUGUAGUGGGGGACAACUAGUCGAAAGAUUAGCUAAUACCGAAUACGACCUGGGCGUGAAAGUGGGGGACCGCAAGGCCUCAUGCUACAGGAGCGGCCGAUAUCUGAUUAGCUAGUUGGUGGGGUAAAGGCCCACCAAGGCGACGAUCAGUAGCUGGUCUGAGAGGACGAUCAGCAACACUGGGACCGAGACACGGCACAGACUGCUACGGGAGGCAGCAGUGGGGAAUUUUGGACAAUGGGGGCAACCCUGAUCCAGCAAUGCCGCGUGGGUGAAGAAGGCCUUCGGGUUGUAAAGCACUUUUGUCCGGAAAGAAAUCGCACUUACUAAUAUUAGGUGUGGAUGACGGUACCGGAAGAAUAAGGACCGGCUAACUACGUGCCAGCCGCCGCAGUAAGAC